AACAAAACUCCCCAACCGAAGCAAAGCAGAUUAGCAGCAACACAGAGAAAACAACAAGAAGAAGAAGAAGGAGGAGGAGGAGAAGGAGAUCACCAUGAUGCACUACAAGGAGGAAAAAGAGGCAAAGAAAGAAGCUUUCAGGAAGUACUUGGAAUCCAGUGGAGUUCUUGAUGCCCUCACCAAAGGUUUGUUCAACAAAAGUUAGGAGGUCCAUCUUUGUCCGAGUAUGAAAAGCUACAGGCUGAAUUAUCAGAUCUGCAGAUGAAGUAUAACCAACUUUUCACAGCUUACCAAGAGACCAGUGCAGAGUUGGAGGAACUUAAGAGCUCACAAGCGCAUACAACACAUAAUGAGGCACCAGGUUCUACCAAGGAGACCACUGCUGAGGAGGCCCAAAAGGAAAAGUUGUAGAAGCGUGGUGGAGAAUCUGGUAUAUUGUUAAGCAAAGUGAAACCUUUAU